rnacentral:lncRNA from 1 species
GUGACAUUCCCGGCUUAGAGUUUAUAUCCCCUGAGCCGAAGGCGAAGGGUAUAUAAGCCCUAAGCCGGGAAUGUCACAGUAUAUACCCUUUCUGAGACCUGAAUUACACAUAUAUUACGGAUUACCCCCUACUUAAUGUUAUUUUUCAGUGUAGGUAUUUGUUGACAACACAUAUAUUGAAAAACCCAACCUGAUAUGUUCGGCAUACGUGAAGGAUUUUCUAAUUUGCUGUGAACAUAAUUUUAUCGUGUAUGUAAUAAUUUAUAAUAACAAUUUUAACAUUAAAUUUAAGUAUUAAAAGUGUAAAUUGCGUGAUUUUGUAUCAAAAAUGUAUUAUUGACUGAAGCACGUCAUUAUUUUCCCUCUGUGAGCCUCUGACAGUCUGAUAGCUUUUGACUACUUCAAAUAGUAACCGGUGUUAUGAUGACGUUUUUGAGGUUCCAAUUGGGGAUAAAAACGUCGUAUAUACCCCGGCAGUUUCCUGAAUAUAUACUGACAUCUCUGUGUUGUUAUCCAAUCACAAACCUCGACACAUUUGUAAUCCGUAAUAUAUAUAAAUAUAUCUUC